UUUGCAGUGUGAGUUCCGAAAGUGUAGGUAGUAAUGAACUCCUCCGAAUCACCCAAAAGCUCGAACCUUUGACGUGGGACAACGAAGUGAAUGGUUCCUCUCAUGGAGCAGUUGGAACAGUUGCAUUUCCAAGCAACAACACUAGUAGGUGCUUGGACAUGCCAUCUUACAUUCUUACAGUGGCAACAGCCAUAGUGCAGUACUAACUCAGAGUCUAUGCCAACAACAACGAUGGUGAGCACAAGUUUAUCCUAAACUGAUUACGUAGUCUGAAACUCAGUUCAAAGGCAUUAGCAGCCUGACAACCAUCAUGCAAUGAAACAAUUAAUCCCAGAACUCCAUUACUCGGUUCAUAACUCAGUUCAAAUGCAAUAGCAUCUUAAGUACCAUCAAGAUUCAUGAAAUGAAACCAUUAAUCCCAAAUCUUCAUAACUCAGUUCAAAUGCAAUAGCAUCCUAACAACAAUCAAGCAAUGAACCAUUUCCACUUCUCUUUUAACCCCACAAAACGCAUAAAUAUAAUCAAUGAAAACUGAACACAGCACCCUUAAUCUUCAUCUUAAGAAAAAAAAAAGAAGGAAAACAAGUGUCAACACCUUACAUGGAAAGAAGAAAAAAAAUCCCAAAAAUCAACAGCUUAUAGAACAAAAGAUAAAAUCAAAAACCUGUUUAUCUUCAUCACAAAAUGGGGAAAUGAACUAGAGAUGAACAUACUAACUAGAAUAAGCAAAAUCAAAACAGUCAGCAGGCUAGAAGCAUUUGGAAAAUUAAUUGAAACGCACACAAAAUUUUCAAUGUUAUAUAUUAGUUCAGUUAAUAAGAGGAGCUUUUGUUUUUAUUGAUUAAAUUUUUAUCAGUCUGAAAAAUAUUAAUUUCUAAAUAUUUAAAAUGAACAACAAACACUGAAGCAGCUGGCUUAACAACGUAAGAAUCUCACAUGGAAAGGAACAAUGUUAGCACUUCUCACUAUGAACCGGUUAAAGCAAUAUAUCUACGCUUGUAAGUGUCUACCCAUACCAACAAGUGCUUAGAGGAAGUGACAGUGGACUGCUUUCUUGGGCAUUUGGACUGAGUUUGAAUCCUAAAGUCGUAAUUGUUGGGAGGACCUUACCUGAAUACCACUCCCGACCUGAACAGGGUUCGUCUCAUACCAUAAAACGGAUGAGGACAGCUCUGGUUAUAGAAAAAAGAAGAAAGGGUCCACCCAUAUAUAUACAUAUAUAUUGCGUAAAUCAUAACAUAGAGUUUAUUCAUAGCAAACUCCAAUUACAGCAAAACUUUUAUGGCUACCAACAAGAGAACAAAAGUUAGAACACAUAUACAUACAGACAUACAGACAGACAGACACACAAGUACCAUACAUAUAGCAUCCAGUUCCAUGAAGCCCCAAUACACAUCGGAUGUAAAGUAGAAGCUAAACGACUGCAUUUUUAAAAGACAAUCAAAUUAAGGGUAAUCCUCUUUGUGAAAGCCAUUGAUAAACCUGAAAUGAGAGCUACUUGGUGGAAUGAGUUUUUGAUUGUAAAGCAAUGCCACUCUGAUCAUUCCCAAUUCUUGCCAUCGAAAUUCCGAAUCUCAACAUGGGAAAGCGUUCCAGGGUCUAAACAUGCAAGUGUCACAGCAAUGCCAUCGGGGUUCGACCGUUGGGUAUAGAAUGAAGUUAUUCCACAAACCUUACAAAACGUAUGCUUUGCAGUGUGAGUUCCGAAAGUGUAGGUAGUAAUGAACUCCUCCGAAUCACCCAAAAGCUCGAACCUUUGACGUGGGACAACGAAGUGAAUGGUUCCUCUCAUGGAGCAGUUGGAACAGUUGCAUUUCCAAGCAACAACACUAGUAGGUGCUUGGACAUGCCAUCUUACUUUCUUACAGUGGCAACCACCAUUGUGCAGUACUAACUCGGAUUCCAUGCUG
rnacentral:lncRNA from 1 species